rnacentral:sRNA from 1 species
AUUUAUUUUUUAGUUUUCUAUUUCUUUAAGAAGAAAAAAGUUAAUUGAUUUCUUUUUUAGUAUUUCUAUUUCUUUAAGAAGAAAAAAGUUAAUUAUUUUCUUACACGUGUCAACAUCUGAUCGAUAGACUUGACACAUGGUAUAAUCCUAUGAGUUAGUAAUUUUAAAAACCAUACUUUAUAUAAUAAGAUUAU